CCCCCGAGCACCCCGUGAUAGCUUUUAGGCAACCCAAUAGUGUGCGAAACAUGUUUGGGCGGGCUGAAAUGUCUGAUCAUGACAUAGAAGUACUUCUUGAGAAUAUCGUUCGUGUGAUGAAAACAGCAGCAAAUCCUGCCUACAGCUGAAUCACUCAUCAACUUUUCACAGAAAGGCAACCGAAAAUAACUAUAGAACAUUUUGCAUUGUAACCUGCAAAAGUAUGAAUGUAAUUUGCAUUCUAGAAUGUUCG
rnacentral:lncRNA from 1 species